AUACGGAGGGGGUUAGCGUUGUUCGGAAUUACUGGGCGUAAAGCGCGCGUAGGCGGCUCGUCUGGUUGGGCGUGAAAUCCCUGGGCUUAACCCAGGAACUGCGUUUGAAACUGGCAGACUAGAGUUCGGGAGAGGAGAGUGGAAUUCCCAGUGUAGAGGUGAAAUUCGUAGAUAUUGGGAAGAACACCAGUGGCGAAGGCGGCUCUCUGGACCGAUACUGACGCUGAGGUGCGAAAGCGUGGGGAGCAAACAGGAUUAGAUACCCCAGUAGUCC
rnacentral:rRNA from 1 species